rnacentral:rRNA from 1 species
GUUGGGAAUCUUGCGCAAUGGGGGCAACCCUGACGCAGCGACGCCGCGUGAGCGAAGAAGGCCUUCGGGUUGUAAAGCUCUGUCAGAAGGGAAGAACGCAUAGGAUUUAUAAUCCGGUGUUGACGGUACCUUCAGAGGAAGCACCGGCUAACUCUGUGCCAGCAGCCGCGGUAAUACAGAGGGUGCAAGCGUUGUUCGGAAUCACUGGGCGUAAAGAGUUCGUAGGUGGACUUAUUAGUAUGGGGUUAAAUACCGGAGCCUAACUCCGGAUCUGCUUCGUAAACGGUAAGUCUAGAGUACUAGAGAGGAUAGCGGAAUUCCUGGUGUAGAGGUGAAAUUCGUAGAUAUCAGGAGGAACAUCUGAGGCGAAGGCGGCUAUCUGGCUAGGCACUGACACUAAAGAACGAAAGCAUGGGGAUCAAACAGGAUUAGAAACCCCAGUAGUCC